rnacentral:tRNA from 1 species
GUUAAAGUAGCAAAGAGGGUAAAAUGCAAAAGAUUUAGGAUCUUUUAUCAAAGGUUCAAAUCCUUUCUUUAGUU